rnacentral:rRNA from 1 species
UACGUAGGGUGCGAGCGUUAAUCGGAAUUACUGGGCGUAAAGCGUGCGCAGGCGGUUCGUUAAGUCAGAUGUGAAAGCCCCGGGCUCAACCUGGGAACUGCAUUUGAAACUGGCGGGCUUGAGUGUGGCAGAGGGGGGUGGGAUUCCGCGUGUAGCAGUGAAAUGCGUAGAGAUGCGGAGGAACACCGAUGGCGAAGGCAGCCCCCUGGGCCAACACUGACGCUCAGGCACGAAAGCGUGGGGAGCAAACAGG